AUUGAACGCUGGCGGCAUGCCUAACACAUGCAAGUCGAGCGGAUGAAGGGAGCUUGCUCCUGGAUUCAGCGGCGGACGGGUGAGUAAUGCCUAGGAAUCUGCCUGGUAGUGGGGGAUAACGUCCGGAAACGGGCGCUAAUACCGCAUACGUCCUGAGGGAGAAAGUGGGGGAUCUUCGGACCUCACGCUAUCAGAUGAGCCUAGGUCGGAUUAGCUAGUUGGUUGGGUAAAGGCCUACCAAGGCGACGAUCCGUAACUGGUCUGAGAGGAUGAUCAGUCACACUGGAACUGAGACACGGUCCAGACUCCUACGGGAGGCAGCAGUGGGGAAUAUUGGACAAUGGGCGAAAGCCUGAUCCAGCCAUGCCGCGUGUGUGAAGAAGGUCUUCGGAUUGUAAAGCACUUUAAGUUGGGAGGAAGGGCAGUAAGUUAAUACCUUGCUGUUUUGACGUUACCAACAGAAUAAGCACCGGCUAACUUCGUG
rnacentral:rRNA from 1 species